AUACGUAGGGGGCGAGCGUUGUCCGGAAUGAUUGGGCGUAAAGGGCGCGUAGGCGGCCCGGUAAGUCUGGAGUGAAAGUCCUGUUUUUAAGAUGGGAAUUGCUUUGGAUACUGUCGGGCUUGAGUGCAGGAGAGGUAAGUGGAAUUCCCAGUGUAGCGGUGAAAUGCGUAGAGAUUGGGAGGAACACCAGUGGCGAAGGCGACUUACUGGACUGUAACUGACGCUGAGGCGCGAAAGUGUGGGGAGCAAACAGGAUUAGAUACCCCGGUAGUCCACACUGUAAACGAUGAAUGCUAGGUGUAGGGGGUAUCGACCCCUUCUGUGCCGCAGUCAACACAAUAAGCAUUCCGCCUGGGGAGUACGGCCGCAAGGUUGAAACUCAAAGGAAUUGACGGGG
rnacentral:rRNA from 1 species